UACAGAGGGUGCUAGCGUUGUUCGGAAUCAUUGGGCGUAAAGGGCGUGUAGGCGGUUUGUUAAGUCAUGUGUGAAAUCCCUCGGCUCAACCGGGGAACGACGCAUGAAACUGGCAAGCUAGAGUACCAAAGAGGGGGGUGGAAUUCCCGGUGUAGCGGUGAAAUGCGUAGAGAUCGGAAAGAACACCAACGGCGAAAGCACUCUGCUGGGCCGACACUGACACUGAGAGACGAAAGCUAGGGGAGCGAAUGGG
rnacentral:rRNA from 1 species